GGGAAUAUUGCACAAUGGGGGAAACCCUGAUGCAGCGACGCCGCGUGAGUGAAGAAGUAUUUCGGUAUGUAAAGCUCUAUCAGCAGGGAAGAAAAUGACGGUACCUGACUAAGAAGCCCCGGCUAACUACGUGCCAGCAGCCGCGGUAAUACGUAGGGGGCAAGCGUUAUCCGGAUUUACUGGGUGUAAAGGGAGCGUAGACGGCCAGACAAGUCAGAAGUGAAAGCCCAGGGCUCAACUCUGGGACUGCUUUUGAAACUGCCGGGCUGGAGUGCAGGAGAGGUAAGCGGAAUUCCUAGUGUAGCGGUGAAAUGCGUAGAUAUUAGGAGGAACACCAGUGGCGAAGGCGGCUUACUGGACUGUAACUGACGUUGAGGCUCGAAAGCGUGGGGAGCAAAUAGG
rnacentral:rRNA from 1 species